GCAAGUCGAGCGGGUAUAGCAAUAUAUCAGCGGCGAAAGGGAGAGUAACGCGUAGCUACGUGCCCCGGAGACCGGAAUAGCCAGCCGAAAGGCUGGGUAAUGCCGGAUGAUGUCUCUGGACUAAAGGGUGUGAUUCCGCUUUGGGAGCGGGCUGCGUUGUACUAGCUUGUUGGUAGGGUAAUGGCCUACCAAGGCGAUGAUGCAUACCGGGCGUGAGAGUGUGGCCCGGCUCACUGGGACUGAGACACUGCCCAGACACCUACGGGUGGCUGCAGUCGAGAAUCUUCGGCAAUGAGCGCAAGCUUGACCGAGCGACGCCGCGUGCGGGAUGAAGGCCUUCGGGUUGUAAACCGCUUUCGGUAGGGAGGAAAUUGCUAGGGGUUCUCCCCUAGUAUUGACCUAUCUUCGGAAGAAGGACGGGCUAAGUUCGUGCCAGCAGCCGCGGUAAUACGAACCGUCCAAACGUUAUUCGGAUUUAUUGGGCUUGAAGGGUAUGUAGGCGGCGCCAUCAGUCGGGUGUGAAAGCCCUCGGCUCAACCGAGGAACUGCGCCCGAUACUGUGGUGCUUGAGGGAGACAGAGGUAAGCGGAACUGAUGGUGGAGCGGUGAAAUGCGUUGAUAUCAUCAGGAACACCAGUGGCGAAAGCGGCUUACUGGGUCUCUUCUGACGCUGAGAUACGAAAGCUAGGGGAGCGAACGGGAUUAGAUACCCCGGUAGUCCUAGCUGUAAACGAUGAGCACUUGAUCGUGGGGCC
rnacentral:rRNA from 1 species